GAUGAACGCUGGCGGCGUGCCUAAUACAUGCAAGUCGAGCGAACAGACGAGGAGCUUGCUCCUCUGACGUUAGCGGCUGACGGGUGAGUAACACGUGGAUAACCUACCUAUUAGACUUGGAUAACUUCGGGAAACCGGAGCUAAUACCGGAUAAUAUAUUCAACCGCAUGGUUCAAUAGUGAAAGACGGUUUUGCUGUCACUUAUAGAUGGAUCCGCGCCGCAUUAGCUAGUUGGUAAGGUAACGGCUUACCAAGGCGACGAUGCGGAGCCGACCUGAGAGGGUGAUCGGCCACACUGGAACUGAGACACGGUCCAGACUCCUACGGGAGGCAGCAGUAGGGAAUCUUCCGCAAUGGGCGAAAGCCUGACGGAGCAACGCCGCGUGAGUGAUGAAGGUCUUCGGAUCGUAAAACUCUGUUAUUAGGGAAGAACAAAUGUGUAAGUAACUAUGCACGUCUUGACGGUACCUAAUCAGAAAGCCACGGCUAACUACGUG
rnacentral:rRNA from 1 species